rnacentral:hammerhead_ribozyme from 1 species
GUCCAGCUGACGAGUCCCAAAUAGGACGAAACAUGUGUCAAACUGGAU